AGGGUGCAAGCGUUACUCGGAAUUACUGGGCGUAAAGCGUGCGUAGGCGGUUUGUUAAGUCUGUUGUGAAAGCCCUGGGCUCAACCUGGGAAUUGCGAUGGAUACUGGCAAGCUAGAGUACGGUAGAGGAUGGUGGAAUUCCCAGUGUAGAGGUGAAAUUCGUAGAUAUUGGGAAGAACACCGGUGGCGAAGGCGGCGAGCUGGUCCAUUACUGACGCUGAGGCGCGACAGCGUGGGGAGCAAACAGG
rnacentral:rRNA from 1 species